rnacentral:rRNA from 1 species
UUCGACUAAGCCAUGCAAGUUCUCUGUCUUCGGAUGGAUGCGAAAUGCUCAGUAACACGUCAAUAAUCUACCCUUAGGUCAGGAAUACCCUCGGGAAACUGAAGUUAAUACCUGAUAUAAGAAUUGUAGUGGAAAAAUUCUUUCUUUGAAACAUGUGCCUAAGGAUGAGUUGGCGGCGGAUUAGGUUGUUGGUGAGGUAAAGGCUCACCAAGCCGAAGAUCCGUAGGGGCCUUGAGAGAGGUAGCCCCGAGAAGGACACUGAGAUACUGGUCCUAGCCCUACGGGGUGCAGCAGGCGCGAAACCUUUACAAUGCACGCAAGUGUGAUAAGGGAACCCUAAGUGCUAAUACUUUGUAUUGGCUUUUGCCAAGAGUAAAUAUCUUGGCGAAUAAGUGGUGGGUAAGACUGGUGCCAGCAGCCGCGGUAACACCAGCGCCACGAGUGGUAAUCACGAUUAUUGGGCCUAAAGCGUCCGUAGCCUGUUUGAUAAGUCUUUUGUGAAAUCGUUGUGCUUAACAUAACGGUGUGCAAGAGAGACUGUUAAACUUGGAACCGGGAAGGGUCAGAGGUAUUCUUGGGGGAGCGGUAAAAUGCUAUAAUCCCAAGAGGACCACCUGUGGCGAAAGCGUCUGACUAGAACGGCUUCGACGGUGAGGGACGAAAGCUGAGGGAGCAAUCCGGAUUAGAUACCCGAGUAGUCUCAGCUGUAAACCUGUGAGCAAGGUGUCAUACAUUCUUCGGGAAUGUAUGGUGUCGAAAUGAAGAUGUUAAGCUCACCGCCUGGAAGUAUGGUCGCAAGGCUGAAACUUAAAGGAAUUGGCGGGGGAGCACCACAAGGGGUGCGGCGCGCGGUUUAAUCUAAUUCAACACAGAGAAUCUCACCAGAAGCGACGGCAGGAUGAAGGUCAGUCUAAAGGGCUUACCUGACGAGCCGAGAGGUAGUGCAUGGCCGUCGUCAGCUCGUGCCGUAAGGUGUCUUGUUAAGUCAAGCAACGAGCGAGACCUGUACCUACAAUUGCUAACAACUCCUUUAGGAGACUUGAGCACAUUGUAGGGACUGCUCCGGAAACGGAGAGGAAGGUGCAGGCUACGGUAGGUCUGUAUGCUCCGAAUCUUCUGGGCUACACGCGCGCAACAAUGACAAGGACAAUGUGAUGCGACUCUGAAAAGAGAAGCUAAUCCUCAAAACCUUGCCUUAGUUUAGAUCGAGGACUGUAACUCGCCCUCGUGACACUGGAAUCCCUAGUAAUCAGACGUCAUCAUCGUCUGGUGAAUAUGUCCCUGCUCCUUGCACACACCGCCCGUCAAACCACUCGAGCAGGGUCUGGGUGAGACUUGGUUUUCAAUCAAGCCGAACCUAGGCUCAGUGAGAUGGGUUAAGUCGUCACAAGGUA